rnacentral:lncRNA from 1 species
UCCAACACAUCAUUUAGAGCAUAUUCAAUGUUUUUCCAUUGAUUCCUGGACAUCCACUAUUUCCUGCUUAUGAGCAGUUCCUAGUGGAAUUCAUAAGCCAACCUUCCUCCCUCCCUUCGCUCUUUCACACACACAUAGCCUAAUUCAUGGAUGGAGUCACACAAGCAUUUCAGCCAUCCACACAACCUGAUCCUUUGCCAACCCUUUCAAUAAGGGCUUGACCAUCCAAUUCAAUGCUUCGAAUGCGAAUCCCAGGUCGAAGCGCCAUUGGACGUCUUCGCCUGCAUCUAGUGCAGCUACUUCCUUCAUUUGCA